rnacentral:rRNA from 1 species
ACACGUAGGGGCCUGACGUUGUUCGGAAUCAUUGGGCGUAAAGGGCGCGCAGGCGGCCGUCCAAGUCCGGUGUUAAAUGGUCGGGCUCAACCCGAUCAUGCGCUGGAAACUGGGCGGCUGGAGUCCCGGAGGGGAUGCCGGAAUUCCAGGUGUAGGGGGGAAAUCUGUAGAUAUCUGGAAGAACACCGAUGGCGAAGGCAGGCAUCUGGCCGGAGACUGACGCUGAGGCGCGAAGGCGCGGGGAGCGAACAGGUUUAGAUACCCUGGUAGUCCGCGCAGUAAACGAUGCGCACCAGGUGUCGGGCGGCAGCGCCCGGUACCGGAGCUAACGCGAUGAGUGCGCCGCCUGGGGAGUAUGCCCGCAAGGGUGAAACUUAAAGGAAUUGACGGGG